rnacentral:lncRNA from 1 species
UCUACUUCCUAAUCUAUGCAUCAGUCUGAGGGAUUCUUCUGUGCUCCAAAGAAAAGGGAAAAGUGAAGAGCAAGCAAAGAAAGGGAAAGGGUGUCAUGUGGCAAACAGCAUUUCCAGGACAUUCAUUCUUAAUGUGGAAUCAAGAAACAGCAUAUUCUGCAGAACAAAGGAAAUAGUCCUUCUUCUAGGGCAGAGUUUCUCAAAGAUAUCUUGA